rnacentral:rRNA from 1 species
UACGAAGGGGGCUAGCGUUGCUCGGAAUUACUGGGCGUAAAGCGCACGUAGGCGGAUUGUUAAGUCAGGGGUGAAAUCCUGGAGCUCAACUCCAGAACUGCCAUUGAAACUGUAAACUUGAGGAUGAGAGAGGUGAGUGGAAUUCCCAGUGUAGAGGUGAAAUUCGUAGAUAUUGGGAAGAACACCGGUGGCGAAGGCGGCUCACUGGCUCAUUUCUGACGCUCAGGCGCGACAGCGUGGGGAUCAAACAGG